CGCUCAUUGGUUUGUUUCGGUAUAAUGAGUCGUACCUGCCCGGUGGAUUAAGUUCUAAACGGUUAUUAAUAUACUAAGGUAGCAUAAUGAAUCGUCCCUUAAUUGGGGAAUGGAAUGAAUGGUUUGUCAUAGAUAAGCUGUCUUUAAGUUAUAGAGUGAAAUUUCCAUUUAAGUGAAAAGGCUUAAAUUAUUGUAAAAGAAGAGAAGACCCUGUCGAGCUUGUUUAGAAGCUGCUAGAGUGAGCUAGCACGCUUUGAAUUUUUAUUGGGGCAAUAGGGGGCCAUAGUUAACGCCCCUUUGUAUUGUAAGGAUCCUAUUUGAUAGAAAUAAGCAAAAGCUACCGCAGGGAUAACAGCGUAAUUUUUUUUUUGAGGCCUUAUUGGAAAAAUAGUUUGCGACAUCGAUGUUGAAUUAAGAGUUUCUCAUGGUGCAGCAGCCAUGAGAGUGAGACUGUUCGUCUUAUAUUUUCUU
rnacentral:rRNA from 1 species